GAUGAACGCUGACAGAAUGCUUAACACAUGCAAGUCAACUUGAACUUCGGUUUGGGUGGCGGACGGGUGAGUAACGCGUAAAGAACUUGCCUCACAGAUAGGGACAACAUUUGGAAACGAAUGCUAAUACCUGAUAUUAUGAUUUUAGGGCAUCCUAGGAUUAUGAAAGCUAUAUGCGCUGUGAGAGAGCUUUGCGUCCCAUUAGCUAGUUGGAGAGGUAACGGCUCACCAAGGCGAUGAUGGGUAGCCGGCCUGAGAGGGUGAUCGGCCACAAGGGGACUGGGACAAGGCCCUUAAUCCUACGGGAGGCAGGAGUGGGGAAAAAUGGAAAAAGGACCAAGAAUCUGAUCCAGCAAUUCUGUGUGGAAGAAGAAGUUUUUCGGAAAGUAAAGGGCUUUCAAGUGGGAAGAAAAAAAUGACGGUACCAACAGAAGAAGUGACGGCUAAAUACGUG
rnacentral:rRNA from 1 species